CCCGCUGAACUUAAGCAUAUCAAUAAGCGGAGGAAAAGAAACCAACAGGGAUUGCCUCAGUAACGGCGAGUGAAGCGGCAUCAGCUCAGAUUUGAAAUCCGUAUUCCGGAGUUGUAAUCUGCAGAGGUACGUUUGGUUAGGAGCCGGAUCAAAUCACCUGGAAUGGUAUGCCUUAGAGGGUGAGAGCCCCGUACCGUCCGGCUUCCGUCGCCAUGUAAACGUCCUUCGACGAGUCGAGUUGUUUGGGAAUGCAGCUCUAAUUGGGUGGUAAAUUCCAUCUAAAGCUAAAUACUGGCCAGAGACCGAUAGCGCACAAGUAGAGUGAUCGAAAGAUGAAAAGCACUUUGGAAAGAGAGUGAAAAAGUACGUGAAAUUGUUGAAAGGGAAGCGCUCACGACCAGACUUGAGUGUGGUUGCUCAGCCGGUCUUCGACCGGUGCACUCUUCCAUAUCCAGGCCAGCAUCAGUUUGGGCGGGUGCAUAAAGACUUGAGGAACGUGGCUUCCUUCGGGGAGUGUUAUAGCCUCUUGUACAAUUCACCCUGCCUGGACUGAGGUUCGCGCAUCGCUAGGAUGCUGGCAUAAUGGUCGUCAGCGGCCCGUCUUGAAACACGG
rnacentral:rRNA from 1 species